rnacentral:rRNA from 1 species
ACUCCUACGGGAGGCAGCAGUGGGGAAUAUUGGACAAUGGGGGGAACCCUGAUCCAGCCAUGCCGCGUGUGUGAAGAAGGCCUUUUUGGUUGUAAAGCACUUUUAAGCGAGGAGGAGGCUUUACCUGGUUUAAAUACCCCGGGGAUAAGUGGACGUUUACUCGCAGAAUAAGCACCGGCUAACUCUGUGCCAGCAGCCGCGGUAAUACAGAGGGUGCAAAGCGUUUAAAUC